rnacentral:rRNA from 1 species
GGGCCCGCACAAGCGGUGGAGUAUGUGGUUUAAUUCGAUGCAACGCGCAGAACCUUACCAACCCUUGACAUCCUGUGCCACUCCGAGAGAUCGGACGUUCCCUUCGGGGACGCAGUGACAGGUGCUGCAUGGCUGUCGUCAGCUCGUGUCGUGAGAUGUUCGGUUAAGUCCGGCAACGAGCGCAACCCACAUCUUUAGUUGCCAGCAGUUCGGCUGGGCACUCUAAAGAAACUGCCCGUGAUAAGCGGGAGGAAGGUGUGGAUGACGUCAAGUCCUCAUGGCCCUUACGGGUUGGGCUACACACGUGCUACAAUGGCCGGUACAGAGAGCAGCCACCACGCGAGUGGGAGCGAAUCUUUAAAGCCGGUCUCAGUUCGGAUCGCAGUCUGCAACUCGACUGCG